GCUGGAAUAGCUCAGUCAGUAAAGCAUGAGACUCUUAAUCUCAGGUUCAUGGCUUCAAGCCCCAUAUCAGGCA